GUCUUCUUGCUGAUAGAUGUUGAGGCAUGAAUGAAAAGGUUCUUCCUACUCAAUGUUUUUAUUUAUAGGAACAAACAUUCAGAUUGCAAGGACUAUUUUGAGUUCCAAAUUACUAUCACAUGAUAAGGAAUACUUUGCAAAACUAGUUGUUGAUGCAGUUAUGAGAUUACAGCCAAGAUUUUAAAAGGUUUGCAGCCACUGUUUUCGUAUUGGAGGAUAAAGUUCUUCAUAACCAGCAUGUCUCGACGAGGAUUCAUAUUAGAUUCUAGGAGUGACAGGUCCACUUCAUCCAAAUCAUUUCAAACUCCAUCAAGGCGUAAUAACAAAGGAUCCACAUUUCAUCAACCUGUGUAUCAGAACUCAAAUGAGUAUUAUAUACCUACUUUGGGGAGUACACAUCCUCCUCAACAUGAUUAUGGAAGGGUUGAAGCAUAUCAAUAUUAUGAGGGCUUUCGCUUCUAAGAUUUGCUUCAAAUUCAAGGAGGUUUCUCUCGAGAUAACCAACUUGUUUAUGGAGGACAUAAUUCAUAUAAGAGUUAUGAGAGAGUUAUGAAAGAGUUGAUGGUGAUGGUGAUGAUGGUGAUACUGAUAAUGAUGCGAACAUUAGAGAUGAAUAUGAGGGAGACAAUAGUAAUGAGAGAGGUGUAUGUGAUGAGAGAGCUGGUAGUAAUGAGAGAGGUGUAUGUGAUGAGGAUCAAGAUGGCGUUCCAUCAAACCAUGGUUUAACCUCUUCUCCAUACAAUUAUGAUCGAAGUGUUAAAAGAAAGGGUUUUGACACACCAAUAAAUCCAAUUACAAGAAAAAAAGAGCUUUGUUUGUAUGGAACAACAGAGUUCAAUAACGCAUCGUGUAAACGUGCAAUCGGAGAUAUUUUGAGGUCCAAUUUUAAAGGAGCAUGGCACUCUUGGGAAAAAAUAGAUUCAUUGUGCAGGGAUGAACUCUUUAAAGAGUUUAAGGUAAGAACCAACACUAAUUGUCAUAUUCUUUUCAGUUUUGAUCACUUUAAUGUAGCAUUAUGAAAAUUAUCAACUGAAUAGCUAGAGAAGUGUGCUGGUAAUUGCCUUGUUAUUUGUAACCAUAAAUAUGCAUCUCAGCUCCAUAUAGGUACUGUAGUAGGGACUGAUUUGUGUUAUAAUUUGUUCUUUUUUCUUGUUUACUCUUUAAUAUCAUUUAAUUUCUUUAGUUAUUACAUCAUCUUGCAAAUUCUGAACAAGAUAACACAAUAUGAUUAAUCAUUUCCAUUCUUUUAAAUUUUGUGCACUCUUUUUACUUAGUAGAAAAAAUAUUCCUUUCUUGAGGAAGAUGAGUCGAUUGUUCGUAAUAUUUGGGAAGAUAAGGCUAGGAUAGCUUUGAAUCAACAAUUGACAUGAGCUCGUAAGAAAGCCAUAUCAAAAGGAAACACUACAAAUAUUAUAGAUUGCCUUGAUAAAGGUCCUGCUUGGAUGAACAAUGACGACUGGAAUCAAAUGAUCAAAGAUGUUUGGUUUACCCUUGAAUUUCAAAGGAGGUCGGAAUCUGCUAGGAGGAAUCGAUUAACCAAAACAGAUGGCAAAAUAAGCACUCAUUCUGGCGGAACAAUGUCAUUUGCAUCAUAUCGAGCUAACAUGGAAAAUUAUAAAAAGGAGAUGAUUUCAAAUUAAGUAUGGAACUAAUCAGGAAAAUCAUCCUUCAUUUGAUGAAGCAGCUUGGUGUGUGGCUUCAAGAGGAGUUACAAAGGGUAGGGUAUAUGGUGCACCUCGUAUGCCAAAAUCUAUAGUUAGUACAAGCUCUUCAUCACAUUCCUACUUAGUGGAGUCAUCAUAUCCUAGUUCAUCGUAUCGAGCAUUGCAAAAGGAGAUAAAGAAUAAAGAAGAGGAGAUAAAGAAAAAAGAUGAUUUUAUUUUUGAAAUGAAACGGCAGAUGAAUUCCAUAAAGAAUAUCUUAUGAACAAUCUUGGAUACCAUGGUGGGACAUCAAAUAUUGGCCAAGGUAUGCCACCACUUUUGGCCAAAUUAUCCUGACAUUGCUAUCGCCCAAACUGUAUCAUAUGCCCAUAAACCAAAGAGGUUUUCAGAGUUGAAAUUCUUUUUCCAUCUUGAUUUGAAACCUUCAAGUUCUAUUGAUUUUGGUACAUAUGGCUUUACACCUAAUACACCUUCCAUAGAAUCCAUUACUUUUGCGUCCACAGGAUCUAGUAAGGUGGACAAUCCUGUUGUCACGAGCCAUGCAUACCCUUCACUCAUCAUUCCUGCGCUUUCGGCGAGUAAGAAUAGUCUGGAUCCAUUGGAGGCUGUCAUGUGCACCAGAAACACGCUUUCCUGCAUUUUCUUUAUUUUGUGGAGCUCGCUCAUGAUUUCAGUGUCAUCGGAAGACGAUGGAAAGCAACUUUCAUAGGGAACUCGAGUACCAAUCGCGUGGAAGGCAUUUAGCAAAUAUGGAACCAAAGCAAUGCCAUAUUCUGUGCCUUCAUAGAUUAGAACAAUUUUCCUCCAACGAUAAGUUUCGACAAUGCUGGCAAUGACUUUCACUUGAGAGGAAUCACUUUGAGCUGUCGGGAUAAAGUAAUUGCAUUGAACUGAAGUGAGAGCAGGACUAGUAGCUGAAAAGGAGAGAAUUGGCACAUGUGUCUUGGCUCCAAGCUCUAUCACAAACUUGGCUUCUGAUGAUCUUUGAGGCCCUAUGAUUGCUUCAACUUCUUCGUUUGUCAUUAAAUUCAGUGCUGCAUUUUGUAAAGUCAGUUUUUUAUUUAAAAUAUGCUAUAUUUUAAAUUGUAAAAUUGAACUUUAUUUCUAGCGAUAGCAUGGCAUGAUAUUAAGUGUGGGCAUGAUUCGACAAAACAUUUUUCAAUUUUUUUUUUUAAAAAAGAGUUAUAGCAAAUUUACUGUG